rnacentral:rRNA from 1 species
CCCGGUGAUAAACCGGAGGAAGGUGGGGACGACGUCAAGUCCUCAUGGCCCUUACGAGUAGGGCUACACACGUGCUACAAUGGUCAGUACAGAGGGUUGCGAAGCCGCGAGGUGGAGCUAAUCCCAUAAAGCUGGUCGUAGUCCGGAUUGGAGUCUGCAACUCGACUCCAUGAAGUCGGAAUCGCUAGUAAUCGUGGAUCAGAAUGCCACGGUGAAUACGUUCCCGGGCCUUGUACACACCGCCCGUCACACCAUGGGAGUGGGCUGCACCAGAAGUAGAUAGCUUAAC